GCUAGUCACUGCUGUCUUCAUGUCCCUCUCCAAGGCGGGAGGAAUCUUUUUUCGAAGAUGCUUAAUGGAAGGCUUCAGAGCAUGGUUUGAUAUGCCUCUGCUCAUGUUUGGGAAUUUGUGCACGUUCUCCAUAACCUUUAGAAGUUCUGAUUUCAUCAUCUAUAAAGUAGGGACAUCAGUAAUGACUACCUCAUAGGCUUAUUGAGAGAAUUAAAUAAGUUAAUAUAUGGAAAGUGUUUAUAACAUAGCCAGCAUGAAAAAUAAUUGAUAUAAGCAGUUUUUGUUAUUAACAGUCUAAAAUGUCCCAGAAGGAGGGCAUAAAACUCAACAGCAGUAUUUAACCACAGUGAUUACAAUGAUGACAUUGGCAUUUAGAUUUAAUUCCUGAAAAUCUAAAGCUUAUAUAAUAUUCUCCCCCUAGUCAAAAAGUAGAUAGUCUUCAAAAUUAAACCCAGC
rnacentral:lncRNA from 1 species